rnacentral:rRNA from 1 species
ACGAACGCUGGCGGCGUGCUUAACACAUGCAAGUCGAACGGAAAGGCCUGCUUUCCCUUGUGGAUUGCGGGUACUCGAGUGGCGAACGGGUGAGUAACACGUGAGUGAUCUGCCCCCAACUUGGGUAUAAGCCUGGGAAACUGGGUCUAAUUCCCGAUAGGACUGCAGGGUGGUGCCUGUGGUGGAAAACGAUUUUCUAGUGGUUGGGGAUGAGCUCGCGGCCUAUCAGCUUGUUGGUGGGGUAAUGGCCUACCAAGGCGGCGACGGGUAGCCGGCCUGAGAGGGUGGACGGCCACAUUGGGACUGAGAUACGGCCCAGACUCCUACGGGAGGCAGCAGUGGGGAAUAUGGCACAAUGGGCGGAAGCCUGAUGCAGCGACGCCGCGUGGGGGAUGACGGCCUUCGGGUUGUAAACUCCUUUCGAGCGCGAGGAAGCCACCUGGUUGGAAGGGUGGUGACGGUAGUGGUAGAAGAAGCACCGACUAACUACGUG